rnacentral:rRNA from 1 species
AUUGAACGCUGGCGGCAGGCCUAACACAUGCAAGUCGAGCGGAAACGAGUUAUCUAAACCUUCGGGGAACGAUAACGGCGUCGAGCGGCGGACGGGUGAGUAAUGCCUAGGAAGUUGCCCUGAUGUGGGGGAUAACCAUUGGAAACGAUGGCUAAUACCGCAUGAUGCCUACGGGCCAAAGAGGGGGACCUUCGGGCCUCUCGCGUCAGGAUAUGCCUAGGUGGGAUUAGCUAGUUGGUGAGGUAAGGGCUCACCAAGGCAACGAUCCCUAGCUGGUCUGAGAGGAUGAUCAGCCACACUGGAACUGAGACACGGUCCAGACUCCUACGGGAGGCAGCAGUGGGGAAUAUUGCACAAUGGGCGCAAGCCUGAUGCAGCCAUGCCGCGUGUGUGAAGAAGGCCUUCGGGUUGUAAAGCACUUUCAGUCGUGAGGAAGGUAGUGUGUUUAAUAGAUGCAUUAUUUGACGUUAGCGACAGAAGAAGCACCGGCUAACUCCGUGCCAGCAGCCGCGGUAAUACGGAGGGUGCGAGCGUUAAUCGGAAUUACUGGGCGUAAAGCGCAUGCAGGUGGUUUGUUAAGUCAGAUGUGAAAGCCCGGGGCUCAACCUCGGAAUAGCAUUUGAAACUGGCAGACUAGAGUACUGUAGAGGGGGGUAGAAUUUCAGGUGUAGCGGUGAAAUGCGUAGAGAUCUGAAGGAAUACCGGUGGCGAAGGCGGCCCCCUGGACAGAUACUGACACUCAGAUGCGAAAGCGUGGGGAGCAAACAGG